rnacentral:rRNA from 1 species
GACGAACGCUGGCGGCGUGCUUAACACAUGCAAGUCGAACGGUGAAAGCGGAGCUUGCUCCGCUGGAUCAGUGGCGAACGGGUGAGUAACACGUGGGCAGCCUGCCCCUCACUUCGGGAUAACUCCGGGAAACCGGGGCUAAUACCGGAUAUGACGUCCUUGGGCAUCCUUGGGGGUGGAAAGUUGUGCGGUGAGGGAUGGGCACGCGGCCUAUCAGCGUGUUGGUGAGGUAGUGGCACACCAAGGCGACGAGGGGUAGCCGGCCUGAAGGGGCGACCGGCCACGCGGGGGCUGAGAGACGGCCCAGACUACUACGGAGGGAAGCAGUGGGGAAUCUUUCGCAGGGGGAGAAAGCCUGACGCAGCACCGCCGCGUGCGGGAUGACGGCCUUCGGGUUGUAAACCGAUUUCAGCAGGGAAGAAGCCGCAAGGUGACGGUACCUGCAGAAGAAGCACCGGCUAACUACGUGCCAGCCGCCGCAGUAA